GCGAUCCUUCGGGAUAGCGGCAAAGGGUGAGUAACGCGUGGAAAAUCUACCCUUAAGUAAGGGAUAACCCUUCGAAAGAAGAGCUAAUACCUUAUAUGACCACGAAUACAUAAGUAUUUGAGGUGAAAGGUGGGGACCUUCGGGCCUACCGCUUAUGGAGGGUUCCGCGUCCUAUUAGCUAGUUGGUGAGGUAAUGGCUCACCAAGGCGAAGAUGGGUAGCUGGUCUGAGAGGAUGGUCAGCCACACUGGGACUGAGACACUGCCCAGACUCCUACGGGAGGCUGCAGUCGAGAAUCUUUUGCAAGGGGGGAAACCCUGACAAUGCGACGCCGCGUGAGCGAUGAAGGCCUUCGGGUCGUAAAGCUCUGUUUAUUGGGAAGAAAUAUUUUGGUCUAAUAGGCCAAAAGGAUGACGGUACCAGUAGAGGAAGUCACGGCUAACUCCGUGCCAGCAGCCGCGGUAAUACGGAGGUGGCAAGCGUUGUUCGGAUUUAUUGGGUGUAAAGGGUAUGUAGGUGGUUAGAUAAGUCGAGCGUGAAAUCCAUUGGCUCAACCAAUGAACUGCACUCGAAACUGUUUAACUUGAGUUCAGGAGAGGAAAGCGGAAUUCCAGGUGUAAGAGUGAAAUCUGU
rnacentral:rRNA from 1 species